UCUUCACAAACGGUCGGAGGAUUAGUGAUCGCUUUCUCAGAUGCUUUGUAGUUGCUGGAAAUGGUUAACUCACCAUGUUUCAGUUCAACCCGGAAUUUGGAAUUGGAAUGGAUUUUCACCUGGAAAAUCAACAGAUGCUGAGCUGUAGCUGCUUUGCGUAUCUUUAGUUGACUGAGAUGUAUAUUUGACAAGAGGACACAUCAACACUCUGUUCUCCACCAGCUUUAC